CCUGUCCCUCAAGCCCCGCCCCACCCGCUGGCCCGUCAGGCCUCGCACCGCUCCCUGGCUCGUCGAGCUCCGCCUACCCCGACCCCUCUCCCGCCCCGUGCCUCGCCCCACCCUCCCGCCCCCUCCAACCCCACCGUGUCCCCCUAGUGUCAAGCCCUGGCCUGCCCCCGGUCCAUCAGGCCCUGCGAGCCUGGCGAGAGUGCUCCCGGGCUCCGACAGUUCAGCAACAGAGGCUGCUCUACAAAACGGGAAUUAACCUAUGCUGAGAUGGAGGUAUAAUGUACAAAUGAAGAAAGAUGCAGAAGUGGACUGUGUCGCACGUUACUCGGCCCUGAAUCAUUUACGGCCCUGAAUCAUUUACGCCUACGUUUGGAUGUGUUCCCCCACCCCCAACCCCAGACACAUAAUGCCAUAUAGUGGGAAUCAUGGAGUGGCUAUCCUUCUCACACUGGCUUCUUUCCUUAUAUGCAUGAGCCUAUGAUGGCCUCUUCUGAGGUAGCUGCCUUAGAAGACACUGCUGAUUCCUCAGGACCUACCCUAAGCACCCCUCUUUGCUUUUGGAACUAUGACAAGACUCAAGUCCCUGCAGGCCAUGAAAGGAGCAUCCAGAGGACGUACCUUUCACCAUGACUGAGAAUAAAUCUGUGAGGCGAGCCCCUGCACCAUCGAGGAGCUCCAGUAGCUGCUUUUCCUUGUAGGUCAGAAAUUGUAGGGGGAUCUAUUGUCACAGAACUGGAGAUCCUUAAAUGCAGUGCACGUAACUGGUUUCUGGGAUAGCAGGGGACAAGUGACAACACUUAAUUGCCAAAAGCAAGGAGAGUAUGUUUACCAUAAUGGGCACCAGAGUCAAAGCGAUAAUAAUAGCCUGACUGGCAGAGACCUAUGGCAUUGGCUAUUGAUCAUGGUGUCCCUAGAAGAGAGUAGACGGACAGCCUAUUAAAUUCUUACUUGAUAUGUAUAAUUAGAAGAGAUCUAGGUCAAGUGAACAAAAACCUGACUUGAAUCAUAAAAACAGAGAGUCACAGCUCUUUACUCAAUUCCCAGAAUUGAACCAGUUUACAGACCUAGAAUCCCUGAGUGAAGGGAAAGUGAAGUCACCUUGAAGAAGGACACUGCUAUACUGUGAAAAUGUAUACUGUUAAUCUUCCUCUCAGGUGUCUCCAAACGGACCUAUGGUCUUUUACCAUGGUGAUUGUACAUUGUGGAAAAGAAAAUAAUCAGACUUUUGUGGGAUUACUGAACUGGCUCUGAACUCACACUGUUUCCAGGAGGCCCAAAACAUCACUGUGGUCACCAUUCAGAGUAGGGGCUUAUGAAGAUGUAACAGAAGACUCGAAACAAAUCCCAGACCCCACUGAACAGCAUGGUGUCUAGCAGCUCCUGAGUACCACUUUGCAAUGAUCAGCUUGUCGAGGCUCCAGCUGACCUCACACAAAUGCAACCUCACACCACCCUGCCUGUAGUGCACUCUGCUCAGAGUUCUCAGUAGAUAGUGAUGCCAGGGGUGCACAGUCGUAGCCCUCUCAGUGCCCAUGCAUGCACAGGCCAUGCUUGUGGGGUGUGAACUCCCUGUGGGGUGAGCACUGUCCAGUAGGAUGCAGGAUGGCUGGCCCCAAAACCAUACUCUCCAGUGGACUCCUCCUCCUUCCCUUGUUUCCCUUGGUUGUUCCUCCUGCUCCCUGGGCUUGUUCUCCUUGAUAACAUAGAGCACAUUAGCCUUUGCUUCAGACUCUGCUCUCUGAGCCUCCCAUGCUGAGACAAAUAUAUACUUUUAACAUCUGGUUCUCCCACUUUCAAAUUGGGGAUAAUAAUACCUUCCUCAUGAGGUUACUUUAAAGGUUAAAUACAGAUAUUUAUUUAUUUAUUUUAGAGACAGAGUUUCACUCUGUUGCCCAGGCUGGAGUGCAGUGGUGUGAUCAUAGCUCACUGCAGCCUUCAACUCCUGGACUCAAGCCAUCCUCCUGUCUCAACCUGCCGAGUAGCUAGGCCUACAGGUGCACACCCCCAUAUCUGGCUAAUUUUUUCUCUUUUGGAGAUGGAUUCUUGCUCUGUCACCCAGGCUGGAGUGCAGUGGCACAAUAUCAGCUCCUUGCAGCCUCUGCCUCCCUGGUUCAAGCUUCAAGUGAUUCUCCUGUCUCAGCCUCCAGAGUAGCUGGGACUACAGAUGCCCACUACCAUGCCUGGCUGAUUGUUGUAUUUUUAGUAGAGAUAGGGUUUUACCAUGUUGGCCAGGCUGGUCUCAAACUCCUGACCUCAGGUGAUCCACCUGCCUUGGACUCCCAAAGUGCUGGAGUUACAGAUGUGAGUCACUGUACCUGGCUCCAGCUAACUUUUUAUGUUGUACAGACAGGCUCUCACUUUGUUAUCCAAGCUGGUCUUGAACUCCUGGCGUCAAUUGAUCCUCCUGCCUCAGCCUCCUAAAGCGCUGAGAUUACAGGUGUGAGUCAUGGCACCCAGCCCCAAAUAUAGGUUAUUUGGAUGGCAGUACUUGUGGAGUAUAAAGUUACAGCAUAGAACUGCUUUCUCCUACUAGUUCUUUCCUUCAGGUCCCAUAUUCUGAAUAGGAUAAUCUUGGGUUUUCCUGCUACCUAUUUUGCACUAAGUUCUCCAAUAAAGAGCACCUCCUGCUUUCCUGGACCCUGUAUUUUUUCCUUGACCCUGUAUCCUUCUUCAUUGUCCGAUACUUGGUUGAUUCUACUUGCAACUAAAUCAAUAUAAUAUACCUACCACCACCAACCUGUGUGUCUUCCUAAUUAUCACUGCUGUGCUUUUUUUCACCUUGUGACUAUCUAGGAUAUCUCUAUCCGUAGGAACCUAUGAUCUCCGAGAAGUCCUAAUUACCACUGCUCCAUUCUGAUGCACAUGUCAAGUGAUGAGAUCUCACUUUAUUUUCAAACCUCUUAAGGGUUGAAGUGUGAUUUAGUAUAUCAGCAAACAACCAAACCAAUUCAAAAGCUAUACCUUUAUGAUUAUACUGGAACUGAAAUAUAAUAUUGUUUGCUAUAGAAUGGAAUUGGUAUAAAGUGAUUUUUUUUUUUUUUUACUAUAUUACUAUUAUACGUCCAUCAGCCUUUUUGGGUUGCAAUCAUAAAUACAGAGAAGAUUUAUUGGAGAGCUGCUGAGGCUCACAGAAUCAACAGGAGCCUAGAGAACAGGAGGGAAGCAAGGCAGUGUUGAAAGCAAUGGAAAUUGUUAGCAUACAUGUAUUCAUUCAAUAAGCAUUUAGUGAGCAUUUACUACGUGCCAGUAUUUUAACCAGUCUCCUACUGGUUGGCAUCCAAUUUGUUGCUAUUAUAAACAGUGCAAUCUACUGAAUAAAUUUUUUUUUAAAUGCAUUUUCUAGAGAUGUAUUUUUUACGUGAAUUCUUCACUGAGCUCACUAGCAUAUUGUUUUUCACUUGAGGGGAAUUUGAGUACAGGUCUUUGCAUAUGAUCUUGAACUCUAUAAUGCUAAACGUUAUUUCCUUGAAUGAUACAUUGACUUCUGCAAAUAAGUCAUUAAGACAAAAUAUUUAUGUAUUUAUUUAUUUUUGAGAUGGAGCCUCAUAUUGUCACCCAGGUUGGAGUGCAAUGGUAAGAUCUCAGCUCACUGCAAACUCCGCCUCUCAGAUUCAAGUGAUUCUCAUGCCUCAGCCUCCCAAGUAGCUGAGAUUACAGGCGUGCACUACCACGCCCAGUUUAUUUUUUGUAUUUUUAGUAGAGACAGGGUUUCCAUGUUGGCCAGGCUGGUCUAGAACUCCUGACCUCAGACAAUCUACCUGUCUCAGUCUCCCAAACUGCUGGGAUUACAGGCAUGAGCCACCAUGCCUGGCCUAUUGUUUAUAGAAAUGUCCCAUGGUUCAUUUCUUUUCCUUGAGCAGCUAAAAUAUAAACGUUGGUGUGCCUAUGAAAGCUUUUUUGGUAAAUGCCUACCUAUUUUGCUGUUGAAGUACCUAAAAGAUCAAGAGGGGCUGCUUGAUCAUAUAAAUGGAGUGUUUUCCUCCUUUACUAAUCAAUACUACUGGCUUGGGAACUAAUAAAACCUAUUAUGCAUCAAGAGCCUUAUAAGUGUGAUGCAGGCAAAGCUGGUGAGUAGACAGUAGCUCUGGGUCAUUUUCCUUGACAACACAGAGACCACUGAAGCCAACAGGAGGAUGUUCUGGUGCUGAUGCAGAGAGGAAAGUCCACAUGAGAACACUCGUAGUGAUGUGCAGCACAUUCCAUCCCUACUCAGUGUCCUCAUGCUACAUGCAGACGGCUGAGACUGCAUGGUGACUGUAUUAAGCCCAGACGCCCUCACUGUCAUGCCAGCCCUCGAGUAUGAUACUGAGAGUGUGAAAGGGAAAAUGUGUUUUUCUAUGACCUGUGGUUUCUUCUGGUGUCACAAAGCCUUAGGCUUGUUUGUGUUUGACUUUUUGCUGUUUUUGCACUUUCAGAGCACUGUUUGUGGUUUGGAGGUCAAACCUUUCUUUAAGGUUGUGGUUAACAUUUAGUUUGCCACAAAGUUUGCAAAUGGGCAUGAAAAACACAGCACCUUUAUAUAUAUAUAUCAUUGCACUUUAGGUUCUGGGGUACAUGUGCAGAACAUGCAGGAUUGUGGCAUAGGUACAUACAUGGCAAUGCGGUUUGCUGCCUCCACCCCCCCAUCACCUAUAUCUGACAUUUCUCCCCAUGUUAUCCCUCCCCAACCUCCCUACCCACCCCUGUCCCUCCGCUAUGCCCUCUCAAAAGACCCCAGUGUGUGAUGCUUCCCUCCCUGUGUCCAUGUGUUCUCAUUGUUCAACACUCACCUAUGAGUGAGAACAUGUGGUGUUUGAUUUUCUGUUCUUUUGUCAGUUUGCUGAGAAUGAUGGUUCCUAGAUUCAUCCAUGUCCCUACAAAGGACACAAACUCAUUGUUUUUAUGGCUGUAUAGUAUUCCAUGGUGUAGAUGUGCCACAUUUUCCCUGUCCAGUCUAUCAUUGAUGGGCAUUUGGGUUGGCUCCAAGUCUUUGCUAUUGUAAACAGUGCCUCAAUGAGCAUACAUGUGCAUGUUUCUUUAUAA